UGACAGUGAAGAAUGCUUCCUGAGAACAUUUACUGUGUGUAAAAUCACAUGCAAAAGAGGAGAAGGAAAGCUAGAAAAAAUGUCAAGUGAAAUUAUUAGAAUGACAUGGACUUUGGUACAGUUUGCAUUGUCUUGACAAAGUGGAUUUUAUGGAAUCAUUUUUUACAUUGAAUUCAGAACAGAGGAAGUGUCAACAUGAAUCACCGAGCUUCAGCUCCGAAGACAAGAGGUGAUAAUUAUCUGAGCAUAAAGGACUCGGAGUCCCUUGACACCUACACCCAGAACACUCUCUCUGCUUUAUACCCGCCUUUCGAGGCCACAGCUGCCACUGUCCUGUGGCAGCUUUUCAGCAUAGUUGAAAAGCUGUAUCGAGGAGAUGGCCUCAGAUGCCUAAUUGAUUUCCUUGUCCCUGCCAAGAGAGUCCUACAGUGCAUUCAGCGAGAAACCUGUGCUAAAUACACUGGUCUUAUUUUCUACCAUGAGGGCUGGCCACUGUGCAUCCAUGAAAAAGUGGUAGUACAGUUAGCAUCUCUUCACAGAGUCCGUCUGAAACCAGGGGAUUUCUACUUUCAAAUUCUUCCGGCUGGGAAGCAGUCAGCAAAGCUGGUUUUAAAAUGCCUCUCCCAACAUGGACAAGGAAUGGAAGAAGUUAUUGUACCUGAGACCAUGUAUGGAUGUGUUUUUACAGCAGAAUUUUUGGAAAAUGUAAAUUGUGAAAGGGAGAGUGUUCCCUUGCAAAGCUGUUUACUUACAACUGGCCCAGCUGUAUACAGAACACCUUGGAAGAAUAUAGUGAAUCCUAUCUUUGUCCCUACAGCUGAAACAAUCCUGCAUAAUUAUUCCAGUAGCCCUUUCCUCGAUCAGUUAAUCGGCAAUAAUACUGAUGUGAAAACAAUGACACAGACCAUGGAGAGCAAUAGUUCACAUGACAGUUCCACUUCCAAUGAUACUGGCUCUACUGUCAUAGAAGCAACACUUACCGAUAAUCAUGGAAACCAAGGGAGUGAAGUGUAUAGUUCAGUUCAUACUGCAGAAAGUAGGGCUGAGGAGAGCAAAGGAGAGUAUGUAAAUCUCAGCACGUUGACUAAGGAUUGCCCCAGCAUGAUAGAGAGGGUUUUACCACAGGCCACUGAGCCUGAAAUGACACCUGAAGUAUUAAAAGGCGGCACGUUAUCGCCCAUAAUGGAGAGAAAGAACAGCAUCAAAAGCAUAACUUUCAGCACGGAUUUGAGCAGCCCUUGUCCAAGAAGACGACAACUCAGGGAUUCUUCAUAUUUUGAGACAAGGCGCUUGUUUAGAAAGUCAUACAUGGAAGCUUUGCAAAACCCAAUGAAUCUUGGUUCCAGCUCAGAGGAGUCAAUUGUAGAAGAGGAGACUUCAGACCAGACAGUGGACUCAUGUGAAGUGAAUGAUGACUUGAGAAUCUCUGAGAGCAAAUCUCGUGAGAAACAAAUUGAGAAGGAAGAUUCUCUUGCUGAUAGACUUGCACCAAAGAAGGAAACAACAGAGGUCCUAAGGCUUGAAGAUUGUUCACAGGCCUCAGAAAAACUGCCUAUGCUUCAUGAAACUUUCUCGAUAGCAGAUUGCAGGGCUGGAUCGAGAAGGUCUCGGUCUUUAGAUAGGUCACAUAAGAGUUCACAUGGUAAGGAUCACAGUCCAAGGUUGUUCUCAGAUAGUUCAGCAAGUGCAAACCCUAAAAAGCUCUUAAAUGGACAUGCUUUAAGACUGGGGAAGUUUGACUCCAAUGGUCAUUUAUUCAUUACUAUGAAAAGCAACAAAUGCAACAAGGAGGAUGAAGAUUUUCCUCCGCACUCAACAGUAAUAGACUCAAGAAACAGUUUCCAGGGUGAGUGUAGCACAAUUACAAAUGCAUCUCCUGAGCUAUUCCAUUGCGAGAGUGAGCUGCUGUCUAGAAAUGCUGGAGACCUUUGCCACAGAUUACCAAACGGAUUACUUGAAAUCAACCAGGAAUUACUGCAGUCUGGAGUCAUUUCUCUAUGUGGAAGCCGGGACCGGGGUGGCAGAGCAGUGGUGCAAGUCUGCACAAGAAAUACCAUCUGGUCAAGUGAACAUUCCACAACUACAGAGCUUGCUCGUCUUCUGAUGUAUUUCUAUAGCAUUCCCAGGAAGGAAGUACGUGAUCUGGGGCUCGUUAUUUUAGUGGAUGCUCGUAAGUGCCAGCCUAGUCCUGGUCUUUUCAAAGCUUUCACAGUAUUACAGAGUGCAGUUCCUCACUCCAUUCACAGUGUCCUGAUAUUGACUGAGAAGGAAUCUGCAUUUAGACCUGACAAAGAUACUGCAAUUCAGUAUGAAGUCCUCACAUCACUGAAGGCUUUGCAAAAGCACAUUGACUGUACCCAGUUGACAGCAGAAUUUGAUGGAACCUUUCUGUAUAACCACCAUGACUGGAUGCGUUUCCGAAAGAAACUGGAACCCUUUAUUACAAACUGCAAAGAGGCCAUUGUCUUUCUACAGAACUCAGUUUGUUCGCUGAACUCCAACAGAACCCUAAGUACAGUGCAGGAGGUCAGAGACUUAAUCGAUAAACACAAGACAAUGAUGAAACUUGUUUUGGAAGAUGCCUUGCUGGUAACAUUAAGGCUGGAGGGUGGAACAAUCCUUGCAAGACUCAGGAAAGAGGAAUUCUGCAAUACAGAAGACUACCGAGAUGCCAUGGAAGCUAUAACAAGAUUGUACAAUCAAGUAGAUGAGGAGGUCCAUAGGCUGGUUCUCAUAUCGAAUAAGUGUCUGCAACAACUGGAGAAUCUCCAGGAAAUAAGAAAAUUUGAAGAACAUUGUGACCAGAUAAAACUCUGGUUUGAAAAUGAAAGGGAGCGAUAUCUUGGUCCUUUAGAUCAAGAGCUGCUCUCUCUGGAAAGUGUGAAGAAGCAGCAAGAAGAAUUCAGAGUUUUCAGUGACAAAGUGACGCAAUAUUGUGAGAAAGGGCUGCAGCUGAUACAAAAGAACUGCUCACUGAACUUGGAAGAAAAAGUUCAGACCUUCAAGAGUUAUUUGAGUAAUGUCAGCACUCAGACAGAGGAAAGGAAGAGUGAGCUGGAGAAGCUGAUCCACUUGUGUGAGUUUUACGAGAUGGCACAUAGGUGGAUGUUACACUGCAAUGAGUAUCUUGAACAUCUUACUGUGGAGAACAAAUACUCUCAAUCAGUGAUUCAGAGUUUGCAGAGCUACCAGCAAGAAGCUACAAAAGUUUCUGCAGAAAACUUUCAAAAAGUGAAUGAGAUAGUAUUGGGUCUAGCUAGCAAAAAGGAACUAAAACAAUGGAAUAUUUUAUGGCUAAAAUGUCAGCAAACAAGGCACCAUUUAGAAGAGGUCCUUUCUGAAGCUCUCAAAGGUUCCAACAAAGAAACUUCUCGCAAAGUCCCCCAGGAAGCGGAUGUGAAAGUUAACUGUGAAUUUGAUACUGAAGGUGCUACACGACCAAGUCAGUCCCUUUCUCGACUCUCUUCUAGCACUGAUAACGACAUUUGGGAUAAUAAUACUAAGCCAUUGCAUAAACCUCAGCAUAUGAGCCUGCCAUCCGGAGUACCACCUUUUUUAGAUCAUGAGAAUUCCAAUCAGAAUAUGGAUGUGUAUGUGCAGCUUAAUGCCUCUCCACCACAGACAUUUACUCCGCUCUUGGGUGGGCGUCAAAGGGCUAGCCCAAUCUCAGAAGAUAUGGACAGUGUUUCCACCUCAGGAUCAGCCUCCUGCUAUUCUGAGCCAGUCCAGUCACCAACUACCCGCCACAGAAAACAUCCACUAAAGAAAAUCAUGAAGAAAACGCAAAGCUUUGAGUUUACUCAGCUUGAGAGCAGCCCCAGCGAAUUGCACCGUCACGGAUACACUGGAGUUUACAUCAAGGGAUUGGAGGUGGCCAGCAAUGUUGCUGCUGAGAAAAAAUACAUGCAGCGCUUGAAUAUUAAAAGCCCUUUGAUUAGUAGAAACCGAAGUUUAUCUUCCCCAUCAAGGAUCCAUCAUACAGAAGAAGAAGAAAAAAAGCGAGCAGGAAGCAGCAAAGUGCAACAUAUAAUGGAUGAAAUGAUCACAACAGAAAGGGAAUAUGUUAGAUCCUUAGGAUAUAUCAUCGACAACUAUUUUCCAGAAAUGGAAAGAAUCGAUUUACCUCAGGAUUUGCGAGGGAAGCGGAAUAUUAUCUUUGGGAACCUGGAGAAGCUCUAUGAUUUCCAUUGCCAGUAUUUUCUAAAAGAGCUGGAACACUGCAGAGACUUCCCAUUGCGUGUCAGCCACUGUUUUCUCAGACAUGAAGAACAGUUUGGAAUGUAUGCAUUAUACAGCAAGAACAAACCACAAUCAGAUGCUUUGCUUACAAGCCAUGGAAAUGCAUUCUUUAAAAAUAAACAACAAGAUUUAGGUGAUAAGAUGGAUCUGGCUUCCUAUCUGCUGAAGCCUAUUCAAAGAAUGAGCAAAUAUGCUCUUCUUCUAAAAGAUAUGAUCAAAGAGUGCACUAAGACCCAGGAGCAGGAGCUCAAUGAUCUCAGGACAGCUGAAGAAAUGGUAAAAUUCCAGCUUCGUCAUGGAAACGACUUGCUUGCUAUGGAUGCCAUUAGAGGGUGUGAUGUCAAUUUGAAAGAACAAGGACAGCUGAGAUGUCAAGAUGAGUUUAUUGUUUGCUGUGGAAGAAAGAAGUAUUUGAGACAUGUCUUCCUUUUUGAAGACCUCAUUUUGUUUAGCAAAACAAAAAAGAUUGAUGGGGGAUAUGACAUCUACAUGUACAAACAGUCAUUCAAGACGGCUGAGAUUGGGAUGACAGAGAAUGUUGGAGACAGUGGUCUGCGAUUCGAAAUCUGGUUUAGAAGGAGGAGGAAAUCCCAGGACACAUACAUCCUUCAAGCAAAUUCAGCAGAAGUUAAAAUUGCUUGGACUAGUAUCAUAGGAAGGAUUCUUUGGAGACAAGCUCUGAGAAACCGAGAACUCAGAAUGCAAGAAAUGGUGUCAAUGGGAAUAGGCAAUAAACCCUUCAUGGACAUCAAGCCCAGUGAAGCAGCCAUAAGCGACCGAGCAAUAGAUUACAUCAUGAAGGGAACAGAAUCAAGAUCUCGAGCGUCAAUAGCAGUGUCUUCAUUUGACCAUUCCACUCCAUUUAAAAGGCCGCAUUCCACUAUCUCAAACAGUAGCACAUCUUCCUCAAGCAGCCAGUCCUCUUCUUCCAUUUUGGGAUCACUGAACCUGCAUGUGUAUUCCAGCCCACCUCAUCCAGGCUUAUUAGGACCACCCUUCUACCACUGGUCAUAUGAUAUUAGAACCUGCAUUGAGGAAGAUGAACUGGAGCAGGAAACUGGCAGUCAGCCUUCUAUGAUCACAGAGAGUUCAGAAUCAUCCCAGUGCACUUCCGGUGAAAGUGUGAGUGGUUUUAGUAGCUCUGCCCAUCCUGGAUUGUCCCAGCUCUCUACAGAGACGUUCUUGGAUGAAGACGCUUCAAAUCCUGGCUCUAAACCUCCUUCCCAGUGCACAUCUCCUGCUCUCCCUGAGAAGAAUCCUACAUCAAAACACACCAACCAGUAUGUUACAGCGAACAAAACCUCUCAUGUAUUAGGCCUCUCAACAAUGGUUUGACUGACAGGCCUAAAUUCAGGAUGCCUGAGGCAGACUGUUCCAGGCUCUGCUGCUAUAGCUAUGAGUCAAAUUACUAUGAAGACAUUUUCAGCCAUGCUGACUCUACUGUUGCAGAUCAUCCCAAAUUCAUUUUGUGGUGAUAAACCUGUGACGCACUUCAUGGACUCUCUUACUGGAUAUUUCAUCAUCAGCAAAAUCAAAAUUAAAUAUAUUUUUUUAAACAACCAGAGAAGAGACAUCUUAUUUUUUUGUUUGUCAUUUUAAAGGCAGUUUUGUUGCAGAGUUCUUAAUCUGCAUUUCCAAAAUAUGAACCAAAUUCUGCUCUCAAAUAAGCAUGCAGGUCUGUUGAUUCCAGGGAGUGGCAUUGAAGGCCUGCAAGAGUAGAACUUGGCUUUGUACAUAUGUGUGGCAAAUUAGAAUGUUGUUUUCUGUUUUAACCUGAAUCUUGUAUAUAGCAGAUGAUGAUGUUGUAGAUGUUACUAUAUUUUGUUCAAUCCUGUAAAUGUAGAAAUCCUUAAUAAAUGAACUAAUAUCUGUACAAAAGGAAAAAUAUACAAACUGCUUGGAACUUUUGUAAAUAUUAUUUUAUUGCUGCUCAUUACAGCAGAUCCAUUUUUAUCUACUUAUUAGUGUCUUCUCCAGCAUCCCACAAAGGCAACAUGAGUUCCUGCAAUCAUAGUAAACAUGGACUUCUGUUAGAAUAUGGCAUUUUCUAGAGAUCAAAAAUAGAAAUAAUUAUUUGUAACCAUUUUCAAAUAUCAAAUAUGAAAACAUAUUAUUGUUCAUGGAUUGUUGAAAACAGUUUGACUUUUGUUACUUCAAACGCUGUCCUUGUUUAAUACUUUUUUUAAAAAAAUAAAAAUUUCUACCAUUACAUUUAUUUUUAUUGUAUGUGAUGUUCCUUUUUUUUUUCCAACCAAGUAUUUGAUUGUG